rnacentral:rRNA from 1 species
UUAAGCGACUAAGCGUACACGGUGGAUGCCCUGGCAGUCAGAGGCGAUGAAGGGCGUGCUAAUCUGCGAUAAGCGCCGGUAAGGUGAUAUGAACCGUUAUAACCGGCGAUACCCGAAUGGGGAAACCCAGUGUGAUUCGUCACACUAUCAUUAACUGAAUCCAUAGGUUAAUGAGGCGAACCGGGGGAACUGAAACAUCUAAGUACCCGAGGAAAAGAAAUCAACCGAGAUUCCCCCAGUAGCGGCGAGCGAACGGGGAGGAGCCCAGAGCCUGAAUCAGCAUGUGUGUUAGUGGAAGCGUCUGGAAAGGCGCGCGAUACAGGGUGACAGCCCCGUACACAAAAGCGCAUGUGCUGUGAGCUCGAUGAGUAGGGCGGGACACGUGGUAUCCUGUCUGAAUAUGGGGGGACCAUCCUCCAAGGCUAAAUACUCCUGACUGACCGAUAGUGAACCAGUACCGUGAGGGAAAGGCGAAAAGAACCCCGGCGAGGGGAGUGAAAAAGAACCUGAAACCGUGUACGUACAAGCAGUGGGAGCCCCACCACUAAGCCAGUGGUGAACUCCACAUACGCAUCCUUUGCUGAGGAUACGGUUAACGGAGCGAAAGCGACGUUCAACCUCAAAAGAAGCAGAGGGGGCUUAGUGGUGGGGUGACUGCGUACCUUUUGUAUAAUGGGUCAGCGACUUAUAUUCUGUAGCAAGGUUAACCGAAUAGGGGAGCCGGAGGGAAACCGAGUCUUAAUUGGGCGUUAAGUUGCAGGGUAUAGACCCGAAACCCGGUGAUCUAGCCAUGGGCAGGUUGAAGGUUGGGUAACACUAACUGGAGGACCGAACCGACUAAUGUUGAAAAAUUAGCGGAUGACCUGUGGCUGGGGUGAAAGGCCAAUCAAACCGGGAGAUAGCUGGUUCUCCCCGAAAGCUAUUUAGGUAGCGCCUCGUGAAUUCAUCUCCGGGGGUAGAGCACUGUUUCGGCUAGGGGGCCAUCCCGGCUUACCAACCCGAUGCAAACUGCGAAUACCGGAGAAUGUUAUCACGGGAGACACACGGCGGGUGCUAACGUCCGUCGUGAAGAGGGAAACAACCCAGACCGCCAGCUAAGGUCCCAAAGUCAUGGUUAAGUGGGAAACGAUGUGGGAAGGCCCAGACAGCCAGGAUGUUGGCUUAGAAGCAGCCAUCAUUUAAAGAAAGCGUAAUAGCUCACUGGUCGAGUCGGCCUGCGCGGAAGAUGUAACGGGGCUAAACCAUGCACCGAAGCUGCGGCAGCGAACGUAUCACCCAAGACAACUUUACGGAGUUGACGAUUGACGGAGCGAAGCGACGUCAAAGCGUUCAUUAAAGUCGAGUUGGCUUAGGGAUACGUUCGUUGGGUAGGGGAGCGUUCUGUAAGCCUGUGAAGGUGGCCUGUGAGGGUUGCUGGAGGUAUCAGAAGUGCGAAUGCUGACAUAAGUAACGAUAAAGCGGGUGAAAAGCCCGCUCGCCGGAAGACCAAGGGUUCCUGUCCAACGUUAAUCGGGGCAGGGUGAGUCGACCCCUAAGGCGAGGCCGAAAGGCGUAGUCGAUGGGAAACGGGUUAAUAUUCCCGUACUUGGUGUUACUGCGAAGGGGGGACGGAGAAGGCUAUGUUGGCCGGGCGACGGUUGUCCCGGUUUAAGCGUGUAGGUGUGUGUUCCAGGUAAAUCCGGUUCACUUUAACACUGAGGCGUGAUGACGAGGCACUACGGUGCUGAAGCAACAAAUGCCCUGCUUCCAGGAAAAGCCUCUAAGCAUCAGGUAACAUCAAAUCGUACCCCAAACCGACACAGGUGGUCAGGUAGAGAAUACCAAGGCGCUUGAGAGAACUCGGGUGAAGGAACUAGGCAAAAUGGUGCCGUAACUUCGGGAGAAGGCACGCUGACACGUAGGUGAAGUGAUUUACUCAUGGAGCUGAAGUCAGUCGAAGAUACCAGCUGGCUGCAACUGUUUAUUAAAAACACAGCACUGUGCAAACACGAAAGUGGACGUAUACGGUGUGACGCCUGCCCGGUGCCGGAAGGUUAAUUGAUGGGGUCAGCGCAAGCGAAGCUCCUGAUCGAAGCCCCGGUAAACGGCGGCCGUAACUAUAACGGUCCUAAGGUAGCGAAAUUCCUUGUCGGGUAAGUUCCGACCUGCACGAAUGGCGUAAUGAUGGCCAGGCUGUCUCCACCCGAGACUCAGUGAAAUUGAACUCGCUGUGAAGAUGCAGUGUACCCGCGGCAAGACGGAAAGACCCCGUGAACCUUUACUAUAGCUUGACACUGAACAUUGAGCCUUGAUGUGUAGGAUAGGUGGGAGGCUUUGAAGUGUGGACGCCAGUCUGCAUGGAGCCGACCUUGAAAUACCACCCUUUAAUGUUUGAUGUUCUAACGUGGACCCGUUACCCGGGUUGCGGACAGUGUCUGGUGGGUAGUUUGACUGGGGCGGUCUCCUCCUAAAGAGUAACGGAGGAGCACGAAGGUUGGCUAAUCCUGGUCGGACAUCAGGAGGUUAGUGCAAUGGCAUAAGCCAGCUUGACUGCGAGCGUGACGGCGCGAGCAGGUGCGAAAGCAGGUCAUAGUGAUCCGGUGGUUCUGAAUGGAAGGGCCAUCGCUCAACGGAUAAAAGGUACUCCGGGGAUAACAGGCUGAUACCGCCCAAGAGUUCAUAUCGACGGCGGUGUUUGGCACCUCGAUGUCGGCUCAUCACAUCCUGGGGCUGAAGUAGGUCCCAAGGGUAUGGCUGUUCGCCAUUUAAAGUGGUACGCGAGCUGGGUUUAGAACGUCGUGAGACAGUUCGGUCCCUAUCUGCCGUGGGCGCUGGAGAACUGAGGGGGGCUGCUCCUAGUACGAGAGGACCGGAGUGGACGCAUCACUGGUGUUCGGGUUGUCAUGCCAAUGGCACUGCCCGGUAGCUAAAUGCGGAAGAGAUAAGUGCUGAAAGCAUCUAAGCACGAAACUUGCCCCGAGAUGAGUUCUCCCUGAGACUUAGAGUCUCCUGAAGGAACGUUGAAGACGACGACGUUGAUAGGCCGGGUGUGUAAGCGCAGCGAUGCGUUGAGCUAACCGGUACUAAUGAACCGUGAGGCUUAACCUU